rnacentral:lncRNA from 1 species
AUUUGAUAUGAUACGCAUGAGUUGUAUUUUCUAAACCAAGGAAGAAAAUCUUAUUAAAUUGACAUAAUACGUAGGCGAUAUUUGUUUUGUGUACAAGAAAGGACGAUCAAAUUAACUAGAUAUAAUACGUAGCAGUUGAUAAUUGCUGAAUCAAGGACGAAGAUCUAUUUAACUUGAUAUAAUAUGUAGGAGAUAUUAUUUCC